GUGGGGAAUUUUGGACAAUGGGCGCAAGCCUGAUCCAGCAAUGCCGCGUGCAGGAAGAAGGCCUUCGGGUUGUAAACUGCUUUUGUACGGAACGAAAAGGUCUGGGUUAAUACCCUGGGCUCAUGACGGUACCGUAAGAAUAAGCACCGGCUAACUACGUGCCAGCAGCCGCGGUAAUACGUAGGGUGCGAGCGUUAAUCGGAAUUACUGGGCGUAAAGCGUGCGCAGGCGGUUUUGUAAGACAGGCGUGAAAUCCCCGGGCUCAACCUGGGAAUGGCGCUUGUGACUGCAAGGCUGGAGUGCGGCAGAGGGGGAUGGAAUUCCGCGUGUAGCAGUGAAAUGCGUAGAUAUGCGGAGGAACACCGAUGGCGAAGGCAAUCCCCUGGGCCUGCACUGACGCUCAUGCACGAAAGCGUGGGGAGCAAACAGGAUUAGAUACCCCAGUAGUCC
rnacentral:rRNA from 1 species